CCCUUAGAUGUCCGGGGCCGCACGCGCGCUACACUGAAGGAAUCAGCGUGGCUUUCUCCCUGGCCCGAAAGGGUUGGGAAACCCGUUGAAUCUCCUUCGUGAUAGGGAUUGGGGCUUGAAAUUGUUCCCCAUGAACGAGGAAUUCCCAGUAAGCGCGAGUCAUAAGCUCGCGUUGAUUACGUCCCUGCCCUUUGUACACACCGCCCGUCGCUACUACCGAUUGAACGGUUUAGUGAGGGCCUCGGAUUGGUCUCGGCCCGCUCUUUACCGGGCGGCGCCGUUGGUCGAGAAGACGCUCGAACUUGAUCGUUUAGAGGAAGUAAAAGUCGUAACA
rnacentral:rRNA from 1 species